rnacentral:rRNA from 1 species
GGGGGUGAAAGGCCAAUCAAACCGGGAGAUAGCUGGUUCUCCCCGAAAGCUAUUUAGGUAGCGCCUCGUGAAUUCAUCUCCGGGGGUAGAGCACUGUUUCGGCUAGGGGGCCAUCCCGGCUUACCAACCCGAUGCAAACUGCGAAUACCGGAGAAUGUUAUCACGGGAGACACACGGCGGGUGCUAACGUCCGUCGUGAAGAGGGAAACAACCCAGACCGCCAGCUAAGGUCCCAAAGUCAUGGUUAAGUGGGAAACGAUGUGGGAAGGCCCAGACAGCCAGGAUGUUGGCUUAGAAGCAGCCAUCAUUUAAAGAAAGCGUAAUAGCUCACUGGUCGAGUCGGCCUGCGCGGAAGAUGUAACGGGGCUAAACCAUGCACCGAAGCUGCGGCAGCGA